AUGCGUGUCUGGACACGAGAAACCCCUGUGUUACAGAAAAGAGAUAUUUUGGAACAUAAACAACUGUUUUGGAACAACACCACCUGCAUUCAGGAGGGAUGGACCUCUGUGAUUGCACACGUGUGGAGUGGGAGAGCCAUGGAGACCAUCGCCUUUGGCAACUCAGCAGAAGUCCUGAAAACUGGCAAAGCAGCUCAGAGCUGUAAGAGAUCUUGGACAAAUUCCUCCUGCCUGCACAGGUUGUUGAGACGUGGUGCAACAGAAGGUUACAGAUAAAAAUGCCA
rnacentral:lncRNA from 14 species